rnacentral:rRNA from 1 species
CACGUAGGGCGCAAGCGUUGUCCGGAAUUAUUGGGCGUAAAGAGCUCGUAGGCGGCUUGUCGCGUCGGCUGUGAAAACCCGCGGCUCAACUGUGGGCGGGCAGCUGAUACGGGCAGGCUGGAGUUCGGUAGGGGAGACUGGAAUUCCUGGUGUAGCGGUGAAAUGCGCAGAUAUCAGGAGGAACACCGGUGGCGAAGGCGGGUCUCUGGGCCGAUACUGACGUGAGGAGCGAAAGCGUGGGGAGCGAACAGG